GGGUCUAGUAAGAAACUUUAUAAGAGAUUUAGUUAGAUAUUGUACCAAAAAUAACUUGAUUUCUAACUUCUAAUUCUCAACUGAUAUUUUAUUUCACAGUUUCAAUUGCCAAUUUGGAAUAAUAUAUUUUAUAUAUAUCUUAGAAAAUGUUGGAUAUAUUUUAAUACAAUACAAGUCUAUAGCUGCUUUUCUUAUCCAGAACUUCAUAAACUCUAGCUAUUUAUAUAUAUAUAUACACCACCAACCUUUGACAAGUAUGUAGUUCAUAAGACUUCUUAAUAUUCGUCUCCUUUAAAUUAAAACCACAACACUCUCUCCUAUACAUAAUCCUCAGCUCCCCACUUAUCAUUGAGUUAGAAUGAAUCAAUCUUCGGCCGUAGUGGAAAAACCUUCACAGGGGCCGUACACAAGUCCACCGCCGAUUGGUUAUCCGACCAGAGAUGCUGUGGUUGGUGAUCCUCGGGUAUCGUCAGUGGAGACGAAGUCCAAGGGUGAAGUUGAUGGGUUUUUAAACCGAUGUUGGGUUGCUAUAUGCUGCUGUUGUGUCCUGGACGCAUGCUGUCUGAAACUUUGGAGUUAAAGAUUUCAUGCAGAUUAUUGCUAUAAUAAAAUAUAUAUUUGAUGAUUGUUGUGUUACUUUUUAAUCAAUACCAUUAAAAGGAACCAUUUCCAUUUAUUGCCCUUAAUGAAAUACUUCAGUUUUCCAAAAUUAUCCUUAAAUUUAUGAACAAACUAAAAUUUUCAUUAAUGGCAUUAUUGUCUUUCGGUUUUUGGGCCUAUCAUUACAUUUAAACGGACUUGAUGUUGUACAACAAGUAAUUUUUAACAUUCUGGCAAAUCAUACAUUACAUCCUCCAUUUGUUUUCUUUUGUAUCACGUUGCUCAUCACGUUACAUCGUUAGCAACAUGUUACUAUUAUAUGCAUGUAUUUUGAAUAUGACUACAUGUAACAAAAAAAACCAAGUCGGUAGCAUUACUUUUAUAUAAAUCUGAGUGGACGACAUAGAUUUAAGGUUAGAAAACUUCGUAUUUACAUAUACAUUGGAUUGCAGAUUUUCUUAUUUUAGCCCAUGUUUGUGAAAUAAAUUAGAUACGACCCAAAUUUGUUAAUUAAUUAAAUGAGUUAUGUUUAUAUAUAAUCCAUUUCAUAGCCCAUACACGUUUUUUAUAAUAACAAAUAAAUUAAAAUCUGCAAUAAUUUUAAAAAUUAAUAUUAGAUAUUGAAACUUUCUAACUAAAUGAUUUUAAGACUUUAUCUCAAAACUAAAAAAAUGCGGGUUUGUUUUUUUUUUCAUUUAUAAAUCAAAAACUGAUUUACAAAUUACCAUUAUUUUUCUUUUAAACCAUAACAAUUGAUUUUUUAGGAUUUUAUCAUUUGUUUUUUUUUUCCCUUCAAAAUAUUGUAUUUGUUCGAAAUAUGGUAGUUGUUCUAUAAUAAUGUUUGAGUUUUAAGAUUUGUUUUCAUAUUUGACCUAGAUUCAUGGUUGAACCUAUAGACCCGAUACAUUGUAUAUAAUCCGGUUCGGAUUUAAUGAAAAAUUUGUUAACUAAAAAUCUGAUAUAACCCGGUAAAAACCCAAAAACUCACUAUUAACCUGUGAUCUGAUACCAUUGAUCCGAUUACAAAAUAUCUGAUAGUAAUUUUU